rnacentral:lncRNA from 1 species
AGGUGCCAAUGCUACACUUCCUUAGCUAGGAGCUAGCAAUGCUACGUGGAAUUGCAUGUCGAAAAUAUUUAAAAAGUCAACCUGCCAUCUCUCCUGCCCUGCUCGUCCAAGUUCCCACUCUAGUUCCAGUACUGGCAGGCUUCACCACUAUAUCCCAGCAGGGUCCUGCUUGGCAUGUUCUCCCAGGUAUCUUCUGAGAGGUUGUUCUCUCUCCACUUCUCAUUCAAGUCUGAAGAUGCUUACAGUCACCUGCAGUACUUCUAAAUCAGAGUUUUGAGAUGGAAGAGGUCACAGCUCCAAUGAUCUCAGCCGAAGAAGAUGAGGAAGAAGACCAGCACAAGUGCUCUCCAAGGAAUGUCUUCCUGCCCGGUGUCCUGGACAACUGCCUGUCUUUAGAAUUAACAAAUGCUCUGACUUGCAGAGUCUCUCUCAAAUCAGCUUUUGCUGGUAUCAGGAUUUCUCUGGAGGACUCAACAAAGUCCUCUCCAUGCCUGAGAUUCCUACAAUGAUUGAAAUUCCAUUGUUUCUUCCCCGUGGCAUCCAGCCCACUGUACGCUGUGGCAUUUGGACAGGUUCUUGCCUCGAGUUCCUGCUCUGCCUUCAUUUCACUAUACCUAGAAGCUGAAAUAAACUAUUUCCUCCACAA